GCUGCAUGGAUUUGGAAUCUAACAACAUUUUAGACACACAACUUGUUCAGUCCAAUGAAGUGACCAACUCUGGAGCAAUGGAACUUGAGGAAUUAAAAAGAUGUCUGGCAAAGUUUGAUGAAAGUGGGAUGAAGGUUAAGUCAAUGACCACAGACAGACAUGCUCAAAUCAAAUCCUACAUGUCAAAACAAAGACCAAAAAUCGAGCACUACUUUGAUGUAUGGCAUGUAG